rnacentral:misc_RNA from 12 species
GUCUCUUCGUUUCCUUAUCAUUUCAGCUGUCCAGACUUAAGAAGAGGAGCUGGACGGAGAACUGAUAAGGGCAGGGAAAGAC